UACGGGGGGGGUAAGCGUUGUUCGGAAUUACUGGGCGUAAAGGGCUCGUAGGCGGCCAACUAAGUCGGACGUGAAAUCCCCGGGCUCAACCCGGGAACUGCGUCCGAUACUGGAAGGCUUGAAUCCGGGAGAGGGAUGCGGAAUUCCAGGUGUAGCGGUGAAAUGCGUAGAUAUCUGGAGGAACACCGGUGGCGAAGGCGGCAUCCUGGACCGGUAUUGACGCUGAGGCGCGAAAGCCAGGGGAGCAAACGGG
rnacentral:rRNA from 1 species